rnacentral:rRNA from 1 species
AGAGUUUGAUCCUGGCUCAGAUUGAACGCUGGCGGCAGGCUUAACACAUGCAAGUCGAGCGGUAACAGGGGGUGCUUGCACCCCGCUGACGAGCGGCGGACGGGUGAGUAAUGCAUAGGAAACUGCCCAGUAGUGGGGGAUAGCCCGGGGAAACCCGGAUUAAUACCGCGUACGCCCUUCGGGGGAAAGCAGGGGAUCUUCGGACCUUGCGCUAUUGGAUGUGCCUAUGUCGGAGUAGCUAGUUGGUGGGGUAAAGGCCUACCAAGGCGACGAUCCGUAGCUGGUCUGAGAGGAUGAUCGGCCACAUCGGGACUGAGACACGGCCCGAACUCCUACGGGAGGCAGCAGUGGGGAAUAUUGGACAAUGGGGGCAACCCUGAUCCAGCCAUGCCGCGUGUGUGAAGAAGGCUUUCGGGUUGUAAAGCACUUUCAGUGAGGAGGAAAACUCUGCGACUAAUACUCGUAGGGCUUGACGUUACUCACAGAAGAAGCACC